AUUGAACGCUGGCGGCGUGCUUAACACAUGCAAGUCGAACGCGAAAGGGGCUUCGGUUCUGAGUAGAGUGGCGCACGGGUGAGUAACGCGUGGAUGAUCUGCCCUUAUGAUGGGGAUAACAGUUGGAAACGGCUGCUGGUACCGGAUACGCUCGGGAGUAAAAUUUUGAGGAAAGACGGCCUCUGCGUGCAAGCUGUCGCAUAAGGAUGAGUCCGCGUCCCAUUAGCUUGUUGGUGGGGUAACGGCCUACCAAGGCAACGAUGGGUAGCCGAUCUGAGAGGAUGAUCGGCCACACUGGAACUGAAACACGGUCCAGACUCCUACGGGAGGCAGCAGUGGGGAAUAUUGCGCAAUGGGCGAAAGCCUGACGCAGCGACGCCGCGUGAGGGAUGAAGGUCUUCGGAUCGUAAACCUCUGUCGGAGGGGAAAAAUGCAGCAUAUGCUAAUCAGUGUGCUGUUGAUGGUACCCU
rnacentral:rRNA from 1 species